rnacentral:rRNA from 1 species
GAUGAACGCUGGCGGCGUGCCUAAUACAUGCAAGUCGAGCGAAUGGAUUGAGAGCUUGCUCUUAUGAAGUUAGCGGCGGACGGGUGAGUAACACGUGGGUAACCUGCCCAUAAGACUGGGAUAACUCCGGGAAACCGGGGCUAAUACCGGAUAACAUUUUGAACCGCAUGGUUCGAAAUUGAAAGACGGCUUCGGCUGUCACUUAUGGAUGGACCCGCGUCGCAUUAGCUAGUUGGUGAGGUAACGGCUCACCAAGGCAACGAUGCGUAGCCGCCCUGGGAGGGUGAUCGGCCACACUGGGACUGAGACACGGCCCAGACUCCUACGGGAGGCAGCAGUAGGGAAUCUUCCGCAAUGGACGAAAGUCUGACGGAGCAACGCCGCGUGAGUGAUGAAGGCUUUCGGGUCGUAAAACUCUGUUGUUAGGGAAGAACAAGUGCUAGUUGAAUAAGCUGGCACCUUGACGGUACCUAACCAGAAAGCCACGGCUAACUACGUGCCAGCCGCCGCCGUAA